rnacentral:rRNA from 1 species
GGACUACACGGGUUUCUAAUCCUGUUUGCUCCCCUUGCUUUCGGGCAUGAGCGUCAGGAAUAAGCUAGAAAACCGCUUUCGCCACAGGUGUUCUUCCACAUAUCUACGCAUUUCACCGCUACAUGUGGAAUUCCGUUUUCUCCGCCUAUCCUCUAGUAAAGUAGUUUCGAAUGCGUGUCCGGGGUUGAGCCCCGGGAUUUCACAUCCGACUUACUUUGCCGCCUGCGCCCCCUUUACGCCCAAUAAAUCCGAUUAAUGCUUGCACCCUACGUAUUACCGCGGCUGCUGGCAC